rnacentral:rRNA from 1 species
GAUGAACGCUAGCUACAGGCUUAACACAUGCAAGUCGAGGGACCGGCGCACGGGUGAGUAACACGUAUCCAACCUGCCCUUUACUCGGGGAUAGCCUUUCGAAAGAACGAUUAAUACCCGAUAUAAAGGUUGGGGAUGCGUUCUAUUAUGUUUUUGGUGAGGUAACGGCUCACCAAGCCUUCGUUGGUUAGGGGUUCGGAGUGGAAGGUCCCCCGCAUUGGAACUGAGGCACGGUCCAAUAUCCUACGGGAGGCAGCAGUGAGGAAUAUUGGUCAAUGGGCGCUAGCCUGAACCAGCCAAGUAGCGUGAAGGAUGAAGGCUUAUGGGUCGUAAACUUCUUUUAUAUAAGAAUAGGUAGUAAAAGAAUAAGGAUCGGCUAACUCCGUGCCAGCAGCCGCGGUAAUAG